GAUGAACGCUGGCGGCGUGCUUAACACAUGCAAGUCGAACGGGAUUAAUUUGCGGAAGCCUUCGGGUGGAAGCUAGUUAAUCUAGUGGCGGACGGGUGAGUAACGCGUGGGUAACCUGCCCUUGACUGGGGGACAACAGCUGGAAACGGCUGCUAAUACCGCAUAAGCUUACAAGGAUCGCAUGAUCUAGUAAGAAAAGCUCCGGCGGUCAAGGAUGGACCCGCGUCUGAUUAGGUAGUUGGCGGGGUAACGGCCCACCAAGCCAUCGAUCAGUAGCCGGCCUGAGAGGGUGAACGGCCACAUUGGGACUGAGACACGGCCCAGACUCCUACGGGAGGCAGCAGUGGGGAAUAUUGCACAAUGGGGGAAACCCUGAUGCAGCGACGCCGCGUGAGUGAAGACGGCCUUCGGGUUGUAAAGCUCUGUGGAGGGGGACGAUAAUGACGGUACCCCUCUAGAAAGCCACGGCUAACUACGUGCCAGCCGCCGCAGUAAAAC
rnacentral:rRNA from 1 species